GUGGGGAAUAUUGGACAAUGGGCGAAAGCCUGAUCCAGCCAUGCCGCGUGUGUGAAGAAGGUCUUCGGAUUGUAAAGCACUUUAAGUUGGGAGGAAGGGUAGUAACCUAAUACGUUGCUACUUUGACGUUACCGACAGAAUAAGCACCGGCUAACUUCGUGCCAGCAGCCGCGGUAAUACGAAGGGUGCAAGCGUUAAUCGGAAUUACUGGGCGUAAAGCGCGCGUAGGUGGUUCAGUAAGUAGGAAGUGAAAGCCCCGGGCUCAAGCUGGGAGCUGCUGUCAGAACUGCUGAGCUAGAGUACGGUAGAGGGUGGUGGAAUUGCCUGUGUAGCGGUGAAAUGCGUAGAUAUAGGAAGGAACACCAGUGGCGAAGGCGACCACCUGGACUGAUACUGACACUGAGGUGCGAAAGCGUGGGGAGCAAACAGGAUUAGAAACCCCGGUAGUCC
rnacentral:rRNA from 1 species